UCACCUACGGGAGGCAGCAGUGAGGAAUAUUGGUCAAUGGUCGGGAGACUGAACCAGCCAAGCCGCGUGGGGGAGGAAGGUACAGAGUAUCGUAAACCUCUUUUGUCAGGGAACAAAGGCGGGGACGUGUCCCCGGAUGAGUGUACCUGAAGAAAAAGCAUCGGCUAACUCCGUGCCAGCAGCCGCGGUAAUACGGAGGAUGCGAGCGUUAUCCGGAUUUAUUGGGUUUAAAGGGUGCGCAGGCGGGCUGUUAAGCCGGCGGUAAAAAUUCAGGGCUCAACCCUGUGCAGCCGCCG
rnacentral:rRNA from 1 species